CUGCUGCCUCCCGUAGGAGUCUGGGCCGUGUCUCAGUCCCAAUGUGGCCGUCCACUCUCUCAAGCCGGCUACUGAUCGUCGCCUUGGUGAGCCGUUACCUCACCAACCAGCUAAUCAGACGCGGGUCCAUCCCAUAGCGAUAAAUCUUUGAAGAAAAGAACAUGCGCUCUCUCCUUGUUAUGCGGUAUUAGCAGCCGUUUCCAGCUGUUGUCCCCCUCUAUGGGGGCAGGUUGCCCACGCGUUACU
rnacentral:rRNA from 1 species